rnacentral:tRNA from 1 species
GGGCGUAACUCAGUGGUAGAGUGUUUGCUUCCCAAGCAAAAAGCCGGGGGUUCGAAUCCCCCCGCC